rnacentral:rRNA from 1 species
GGGUGCAAGCGUUAAUCGGAAUUACUGGGCGUAAAGCGCACGCAGGCGGUCUGUCAAGUCGGAUGUGAAAUCCCCGGGCUCAACCUGGGAACUGCAUUCGAAACUGGCAGGCUAGAGUCUUGUAGAGGGGGGUAGAAUUCCAGGUGUAGCGGUGAAAUGCGUAGAGAUCUGGAGGAAUACCGGUGGCGAAGGCGGCCCCCUGGACAAAGACUGACGCUCAGGUGCGAAAGCGUGGGGAGCAAACAGGAUUAGAUACCCUGGUAGUCCACGCCGUAAACGAUGUCGACUUGGAGGUUGUGCCCUUGAGGCGUGGCUUCCGGAGCUAACGCGUUA